rnacentral:rRNA from 1 species
UACGUAGGGACCGAGCGUUGUCCGGAUUCAUUGGGCGUAAAGAGCUCGUAGGCGGCUGUUCAAGUCGAACGUGAAAACUCGGAGCUCAACUCCGAGCCUGCGUUCGAUACUGGACGGCUAGAGUCUGGUAGGGGGAUCUGGAAUUCCUGGUGUAGCGGUGGAAUGCGCAGAUAUCAGGAGGAACACCGGUGGCGAAGGCGGGUCUCUGGGCAGUAACUGACGCUGAGGAGCGAAAGCGUGGGGAGCGAACAGG